UGCCAGACUCCUACGGGAGGCAGCAGUGGGGAAUAUUGCACAAUGGGGGAAACCCUGAUGCAGCGACGCCGCGUGAGCGAUGAAGUAUUUCGGUAUGUAAAGCUCUAUCAGCAGGGAAGAAAAUGACGGUACCUGAGUAAGAAGCCCCGGCUAACUACGUGCCAGCAGCCGCGGUAAUACGUAGGGGGCAAGCGUUAUCCGGAGUUACUGGGUGUAAAGGGAGCGUAGACGGCCAGACAAGUCUGAAGUGAAAAUCCAGCGCUUAACGCUGGAAGUGCUUUGGAAACUGCCGGGCUGGAGUGCAGGAGGGGCAGGCGGAAUUCCUAGUGUAGCGGUGAAAUGCGUAGAUAUUAGGAGGAACACCAGUGGCGAAGGCGGCCUGCUGGACGACAACUGACGGUGAGGCGCGAAAGCGUGGGGAGCAAACAGGAUUAGAUACCCCCGUACAU
rnacentral:rRNA from 1 species